UUGAUUAGGCUUGAUUAUUGCUCCCAAUAUAUCAGUUUCCGUGGGGCAGUAAUUUGGGACCCUGUAGUCAGCGAAGUUGUGAAAUCUUCUCAAAUGAAGAAGGGCCAUUGAUUACAAAAGAAAGAAAUGCAUGAAUAUAUAGACCUGAUCUCCAACUCUUUCCAUAGGACGAGAUGACAGACUACCGAUACAGCACUAAUCUUUUGGCUGGGUUAUAUACCCUAAUUCUUUUUCCAAAGCCUCCUCUCCAGAUCAAGUAUAUGCAAGGUAGCUCUGGUGUGCUUUCCGAAAUUGGAAAUCGUUAUGAGCAGAAAGUUGGUGAAUUCAAUCGUCUUGAGAAAUGGCUAGCCCUGAGGUGCACGCACGAAAUAAAAGCAAUCGGAAAGCAGGGUUUAAGGAGCUUGGGGGCAACAAAGAAACGAAUUUCAGGAUAAUUCUGAAUUUUAGUCAUGUGUCAUGAUAACCCAGUAACUUCAAAAUUGGUGUUGCAAAAUUUUUACAAGAGCUUACACCAAAUGAGAAUUUGAAAUUGAAGAUGAGAUCGGGCUGGAGGAACUGAUCAAUGCAGGUAUCCUUUUGUUAUUACCGAUUGCUAUGAAGUUUGAAUAAUGGAUGUAAUUAAUGUCGUGUCAAGAUGUGUUCUAAAUCUGCAUUGAAAAUUAUCCAAGGUCAGCAUUGUUUGGC